AGAGUUUGAUCAUGGCUCAGAUUGAACGCUGGCGGCAUGCCUAACACAUGCAAGUCGAACGGAAACGAUUAAGAGCUUGCUCUUAAGGCGUCGAGUGGCGGACGGGUGAGUAAUACUUAGGAAUCUGCCCAGUAGUGGGGGACAACUCGAGGAAACUCGAGCUAAUACCGCAUACGCCCUACGGGGGAAAGCGGAGGAUCUUUCGGGACUUCGCGCUAUUGGAUGAGCCUAAGUCGGAUUAGCUUGUUGGUGAGGUAAAAGCUCACCAAGGCGACGAUCCGUAGCUGGUCUGAGAGGACGAUCAGCCACACUGGGACUGAGACACGGCCCAGACUCCUACGGGAGGCAGCAGUGGGGAAUAUUGGACAAUGGGGGCAACCCUGAUCCAGCAAUGCCGCGUGUGUGAAGAAGGCCUGCGGGUUGUAAAGCACUUUCAGUAGAGAAGAAAAGCUUAGGGUUAAUACCCCUGGGUCUUGACGUUACCUACAGAAGAAGCUCCGGCUAACUCCGUGCCAGCAGCCGCGGUAAUACGGAGGGAGCGAGCGUUAAUCGGAAUUACUGGGCGUAAAGCGCGCGUAGGCGGCUUUGUAAGUCGGAUGUGAAAGCCCUGGGCUCAACCUGGGAAUUGCAUUCGAAACUGCAGAGCUAGAGUAUGGUAGAGGGAAGUGGAAUUUCCGGUGUAGCGGUGAAAUGCGUAGAUAUCGGAAGGAACACCAGUGGCGAAGGCGACUUCCUGGGCCAAUACUGACGCUAAGGUGCGAAAGCGU
rnacentral:rRNA from 1 species